rnacentral:rRNA from 1 species
GGAUCAUUACACAAAUAUGAAGGCGGGCUGGAACCUCUCGGGGUUACAGCCUUGCUGAAUUAUUCACCCUUGUCUUUUGCGUACUUCUUGUUUCCUUGGUGGGUUCGCCCACCACUAGGACAAACAUAAACCUUUUGUAAUUGCAAUCAGCGUCAGUAACAAAUUAAUAAUUACAACUUUCAACAACGGAUCUCUUGGUUCUGGCAUCGAUGAAGAACGCAGCGAAAUGCGAUAAGUAGUGUGAAUUGCAGAAUUCAGUGAAUCAUCGAAUCUUUGAACGCACAUUGCGCCCUUUGGUAUUCCAAAGGGCAUGCCUGUUCGAGCGUCAUUUGUACCCUCAAGCUUUGCUUGGUGUUGGGCGUCUUGUCUCUAGCUUUGCUGGAGACUCGCCUUAAAGUAAUUGGCAGCCGGCCUACUGGUUUCGGAGCGCAGCACAAGUCGCACUCUCUAUCAGCAAAGGUCUAGCAUCCAUUAAGCCUUUUUUUCAACUUUUGACCUCGGAUCAGGUAGGGAUACCCGCUGAACUUAAGCAUAUCAAUAAGCGGAGGAAAAGAAACCAACAGGGAUUGCCCUAGUAACGGCGAGUGAAGCGGCAACAGCUCAAAUUUGAAAUCUGGCUCUUUUAGAGUCCGAGUUGUAAUUUGCAGAGGGCGCUUUGGCUUUGGCAGCGGUCCAAGUUCCUUGGAACAGGACGUCACAGAGGGUGAGAAUCCCGUACGUGGUCGCUGGCUAUUGCCGUGUAAAGCCCCUUCGACGAGUCGAGUUGUUUGGGAAUGCAGCUCUAAAUGGGAGGUACAUUUCUUCUAAAGCUAAAUAUUGGCCAGAGACCGAUAGCGCACAAGUAGAGUGAUCGAAAGAUGAAAAGCACUUUGGAAAGAGAGUCAAACAGCACGUGAAAUUGUUGAAAGGGAAGCGCUUGCAGCCAGACUUGCUUACAGUUGCUCAUCCGGGUUUCUACCCGGUGCACUCUUCUGUAGGCAGGCCAGCAUCAGUUUGGGCGGUAGGAUAAAGGUCUCUGUCACGUACCUCCUUUCGGGGAGGCCUUAUAGGGGAGACGACAUACUACCAGCCUGGACUGAGGUCCGCGCAUC